GUUGAGGUCUAUCCUGAUUGGCUUUUUCUGCAGAUGCAUAUCAUUGGAGAUGCCUCAUUGAAUAACUAUGUUGUCUGCUUUUUCUCACGGAACUCUUUGUUAGAUCUGUGGAAAGAACUAUAAGAGAGAG
ensembl:snoRNA small nucleolar RNA SNORA18